rnacentral:rRNA from 1 species
GCGGCGAACGGGUGAGUAACACGUGAGUAAUCUGCCCCUGACUUUGGGAUAGCCACCGGAAACGGUGAUUAAUACCGGAUAUGACGCAAAUUCGCAUGGGUUUGUGUGGAAAGUUUUUCGGUCAGGGAUGUGCUCGCGGCCUAUCAGCUUGAUGGUGAGGUAAUGGCUCACCAUGGCUUCGACGGGUAGCCGGCCUGAGAGGGUGACCGGCCACACUGGGACUGAGACACGGCCCAGACUCCUACGGGAGGCAGCAGUGGGGAAUAUUGGACAAUGGGCGGAAGCCUGAUCCAGCAACGCCGCGUGAGGGAUGACGGCCUUCGGGUUGUAAACCUCUUUCAGUACCGACGAAGCGCAAGUGACGGUAGGUACAGAAGAAGCACCGGCCAACUACGUGCCAGCAGCCGCGGUAAUACGUAGGGUGCGAGCGUUGUCCGGAAUUAUUGGGCGUAAAGGGCUCGUAGGCGGUUUGUCGCGUCGGGAGUGAAAACGCCGUGCUUAACACGGCGCUUGCUUUCGAUACGGGCAGACUAGAGGUAUGCAGGGGAGAACGGAAUUCCUGGUGUAGCGGUGAAAU